CAGGCCUAACACAUGCAAGUCGAGCGGCAGCACGGGGAGCCUAGCUCCCUGGUGGCGAGCGGCGGACGGGUGAGUAACGCGUGGGAAUCUACCCCUCGGUGGGGGAUAGCCCGGGGAAACUCGGAUUAAUACCGCAUACGCCCUACGGGGGAAAGCGGGCCUCUGAUGCAAGCCCGCGCCGAGGGAUGAGCCCGCGUCCGAUUAGCUGGUUGGUGGGGUAAAGGCUCACCAAGGCGACGAUCGGUAGCUGGUCUGAGAGGAUGGUCAGCCACACUGGGACUGAGACACGGCCCAGACUCCUACGGGAGGCAGCAGUGGGGAAUAUUGGACAAUGGGCGAAAGCCUGAUCCAGCAAUGCCGCGUGUGUGAAGAAGGCCUGCGGGUUGUAAAGCACUUUCAUCGGGGAGGAAAAGCGUCGGGUUAAUAGCCUGGCGUCUUGACGGUACCCGAAGAAGAAGCGCCGGCAAACUUCGUGCCAGCAACCGCGGUGAUACGAAGGGCGCAAGCGUUAAUCGGAAUCACUGGGCGUAAAGGGCACGCAGGCGGUCAGGUAAGUCGGGUGUGAUAGCCCUGGGCUCAACCCAGGAAUGGCAUCCGAUACUGCUUGACUAGAGUCCGGUAGAGGGCAGUGGAAUUCCCGGUGUAGCGGUGAAAUGCGUAGAUAUCGGGAAGAACACCAGUGGCGAAGGCGACUGCCUGGACCGAGGCUGACGCUCAGGUGCGAAAGCGUGGGGAGCAAAGAGGAUUAGAUACCCUCGUAGUCCACGCCGUAAACGUUGAGGACUAGCCGUUGGCCCUUUUCGAAGGGUUAGUGGCGUAGCUAACGCGUUAAGUCCUCCGCCUGGGGAGUACGGCCGCAAGGUUAAAAC
rnacentral:rRNA from 1 species